rnacentral:miRNA from 1 species
GCACCUUGGUCACCAUUAUUUG